CCCAUCGAUGUUGUAAAACAAAUGAAAGUAAUGUUGGCAAUGAAUGCUUCGUUUAGCUUUUAUAUGUUUCACAGAGGUACAAAUUUUGGAUUCACAUCGGGAGCGAAUACAAAUGACACCAAAGAAAGUAUUGGAUACUUACCACAGUUGACCUCAUACGAUUAUAAUGCUCCGUUGGAUGAAGCUGGAGACCCUACUGAAAGGUAUUUCAAAAUUAAACAGACACUUGAAGAAGCCGUGAGUUUUAAUAACAGUUAACUAUCCAAUAUACAUAUACAGUUUAUUAAUUAAUUAUUUUUAAGAAAUAUGCUGUGACAAACGAGAUAUCACCAAAUCCCGCACCCAAAGGUGCCUAUGGAAAAUUCUAUUUAAGACCUUUGGUUAGCAUAUUUGAAAAGGUUUCUCAACGUAUUAAACCAGUGAUCAGUGAUAUGUUCCUUUACCGUUUGAGGACUUAGAUAUUAACACUGGUUUUGUAAUGAAUGAAACAACAUUAACAGAUGAUCAAAAAAAUGUUGAAAAUCCAGUAAACCUAACUGUGAACACGGUUAGAGAUCGAGCAAUCAUUUACCUGGAUCAAGUAGAAUUACAUUGCAGUUAUAGUUUUAGAAACAUGGGUGUUCAAAUUUUUUUUUAGGUACAAGUGGGUUCUAUGAAUCGGUUGAAAGCUAAUACUACAAUAAGCUUAAACAUUAACCGUACUGUUCAAAACCUAAGCAUUUUAAUUGAGAAUCAGGGAAGGAUUAAUUUUGAAGACUAUUGAAGAUAGGAAGGUAAUAAUAGCUGACAAUAAAUUAUUUUAUUCAUGGUCUGAGACUGAAAUAGUAUAAUUUAUAAUAGUAUACUAUAGUAUUAUAGUAUAAUAUAAUGCUUACCAGUUACCAUAGAAGUUAAUAUUUGAUAAAUUGUAUACAGACUGGCGAGUGGUGACAUAACCUUUUUAGAAACAAAAGUGGUAAUAUUUACAAUCACUAAAUCAGAUUGUAUUAUAUUUAUUUUAACUACCAACUGAGUAUAAUUACUGAAUUAAAAUAUUGUAUGUAAAAUAAGACAGUUGUUCAAGGCUUCAGACCUUGGUUGCUGAAAUGAAUGAACUGUAUUUAAACUAUAGUAAAAAACGUUUAAAACCAAAAUUUCAUUUUUUAACGCACUAUCACUCAUUUAUUAAAAAAUUUGGACCUGUAAUUCACUUAUGGUCUAUGAGAUAUGAAGCAAAACAUAAAGUAUCAAAAAUUUCGGCUAGGUCUUCAUUCAAUAGGCGUAACAUUUGCAAGACUUUGGCAAUCAAACAUCAACUUAAAUUGAAUGAAACAUUUAUUAAUGGUAAACUAUGUAAUAAUAUUAAUGUAGGACCUCAAACAGAAUUAGACUCUAUAAAACAGCAUCAAAUUCUAAAUAAACUAAAUCUGAAUAUAGAUGAACAAUUAAUUCGAGUAAAUUGGGCUGAAGUGGGAGGAACUCGUUACAAACCUAAAACUAUAUUGACAUUAGACAUUUUAAAUGAUAAUAAUCCUCAAUUUGCAAUUAUAAAUAAUGUUUUUCUUUAUGCGCAAAACAGGGUAAUUUUUGAGUGCAACAUUUUAACAACAAUAGGUUUCGAUGAACAUGUUUACUGUUAUGAAAUAACAUUACUAGAAACCAAUAAUAUUAGUUAUGUAUUUCAGGAUUUACUUCCUUCUCAUGUACCAAAUACUUUAAAUAUUGUAUCAAAUGGAACAAAAUAUAUUACUCUAAGAAGUCCUUUAUAAAUUAUAUUGUUGCUUUAUUUAUAUAACAAAUGUAUUUUAUGUACCUACUUAGGUAAAAUUUUAAAAUACCUAAAACUUUUUUGUUAAAAAAAUUUGUUUUAAAAUAUAUGUAAAAUAAAGAGUAUAAGAAAAACAAAUUUGGCGGUUGUUAUUUUAUUUCAAUAGUUCUUCACCUAAUAAAAACUAUUAUGCUUACAGUAUCAGUGCUCAAAUUGGAAAAAUAAAAAUAUGGGGAUGCAUUUAAGUAAAAAGUAAGUAUUGAUCCAAUUUUCCUUUACCUGAUCAUAAAGGCAAUUGGGAAAACAAUUUGAGGGGUAGUGCUUACAUAUUUUGAAAAACAGGGGGCUGUGAUUCCUUUGGUAGGUACCCCCCCACCAAAUUUGAGCACUGUACCCACUGAAUAUUUAGUAAUUGUAACAGAAAUAAAAUUUGUAUACCAUUGUCUGUUUUGUAGAGAUAACAGAUCUUAACAACAACGUUAACUAAAUUGCAUUGUUGUAUUAAUCAUUGAGUAUGUACUUACUACAAAAGAGUUCUGUAUUGGUAUCAAAAUAACUUGUAGACCAAAACGAACUUCCAUGGUCAUAGUAACUAAUAUCGAACAAAUUUAACUAACUGUUCUGUGACAACUACGACAUGUUUUUCUGCAUAGUUACAAAUUAAUUUGUAAUUCUUACUUUUUAGUUAUGAGUUUUGUAAACAAGCCUAAAUUAAGUUUUGUAUUCCAAACGAAUUGAUUUGUACCCAUGACAGUUAUUAGAUAACAAAAAUGAGUUUGUUACUGUAACUUAAGAUAUUGUUGUCCCUGAGCCAACUGGUAAGCACGGUUGUAACUACUGUAUUUCAGUUCUCCUAACAGAAUAUUUUUUUCAGUGUAACUAAACAGUUUAAAUGCCCUAUUGCUUUUUUUUAUGUGAAUAAGAUAAAUAGUAAUGUAUUAAGUACAUUAUUAUCUACAGCUAUUGUAAAACUGCAUGAGGUAGGCAUUCAGGUCUGGAAUGUAACGUGUGAUGGUGCUUCUGCUAACAUACAAUGUUUCAAAAAGUUGGGCUGUAGUGUAGUACCACAGAAUAAGACUGGUAGUACAUACAUCUCGAUGCAUACGAUUUAAUAUUUAUCAAUAGACUGUAUACAUAGAUACUUAGUAUAAUAUAAAGUUCUAUGGAUUUAUCAUAGUACAUAAUAUAUUUUGUAAUAUCUAUGGCAAUCGUCAAUUGUCGACAUUCGUCGGCGACGAUAAACAAUUUUAAUAAUUUCAGUGAACAAAUAAGUAAUAAGCCAUCAAUAUAGACCGACAGUUAUGAGCCGUAUACAUUAUAAUUUUCAGUUCAGAGCGAGAUGAAGAUGGAUAAAGAUAGUUUCUUCGGCGACGGCGGCACUCUAGCUAGGUUUCACCGGAAGAGUCGAUGCUUACGCAAAUGGUAUUCGUCAGUGAAAAUUUUCAAACUGGGAAUAAUAUUAUAUCAUAAGCAGAUUGAAAUGUGUGAACGUUUCAGUGCUUCGAAGACUAAGUUUCGUAGCAGAUUUUGAUUCCGUCACGGGGUAUGUAUUUUUUUAUUUCUCAGUAGAUUUUUUUUUUAUUAUUGUUAAUUGAUCAAAGGAUGUAUUGCUCGAAAUUUUUCAAUAUUUGUAUUGUAAUUAUACUGGUAUAACACUAUUCCGGCUAUCAAUAAAGUCGUGUUAAAAAUUAGAAAAUUGGCGAGGUAUGUUAUUUUUUUAAGUAAUUCUUUCGAGUAGGGAUUUCGCUCAAUGAUAUUUAAAUAUUUUCACCGAUAAUCAAGUACGAUGACUUGUAGGUAACUAGAGACUGAGUGAAUAGGAAUUAGGAAGUGUGUGAUAUAGCGAAGAUAAGGAAAUGGGUCAAGAGGAUUUCAGAAUGUUUGGUGUAUGAAAGGGAAAGAUGAAAAAGAAAUGUAAGGUUAGGGUAGGUAAGUGGAGUGAGGGUAUCAGAUAUGAGAAUAAUAAGUGAGGUGUUAAGGUACAAAAGAGGAUAGAAUAAGAAAUUAAUUAAUUAAGGGUAGUGUACAUAUUGUAGUGAAAACAAGAGAGAAUAGGUUUAGGUGGUUCGGUCACUGUAUGAUGAGAGAUAGUGAGAGUGGCUAUAGAAGUUAAUUUAGGGGGGAAAUGAGGGACGAGAAGACUGAAGAAGAGAUGGAUAGACAGAAUACCGAUCAUAUGGAGGAGUGGAAUGAGAGUGGCUGAACCUGUAUAUAGCUGUGAGAGACGGGGGAAGAAAAAGUGUAAAGGUAGAAUAGUUAUGUUAACAAUGCCGAAUACGUAGGUAAUACGUAACCUAAUCAGUUGAUAAAUAUUUUCUUUCAUUGUUAUGUUUACAAUAUCGAAUACCUUGAUGGUUAGUAGGAAACGAUCAUCGCAAAGCUCACGACCAGUGAUGGUAGUCGUCUAUCAUCACUAUAGCUUCAACUAACCAUAGGUUUAUUUAACUAACGUUCUUAUGACUCUUUAGUACACUUUGAAUAAAAAGAUCCUGAAUUGCAGGUUGCCGAACUUAAGUGUUUGAUUAUCAAGUUGAUCCUUUGAUUGUUGACACCAUGGAUAGUCCACGCCUAUGUUAAAUACAUUUCAGGCCGCGUUCCCGGAGGGGAAGGCAAUUGAGGCUCCUUUAUAUUGAUAGUCGAUACUCGAUAUAGGUAUACUUUAUUUGGC